rnacentral:rRNA from 1 species
UACGUAGGGUCCAAGCGUUAUCCGGAAUCACUGGGCGUAAAGCGUGCGUAGGUGGCGUGUUAAGUGAGAUGUGAAAUCGUGUGGCUCAACCAUACGUUGUGUCUCAUACUGGCAUGCUAGAGGACAGCAGAGGCAAGUGGAAUUACGAGUGAGCGGUAAAAUGCGUAGAUAUUCGUAGGAACACCAAUGGCGAAGGCAGCUUGCUGGGCUACUCCGUGACACUGAGGUAC